GAGUUUGAUCGUGGCUCAGAUUGAACGCUGGCGGCAGGCCUAACACAUGCAAGUCGAGCGGUAGAGAGAAGCUUGCUUCUCUUGAGAGCGGCGGACGGGUGAGUAAUGCCUAGGAAUCUGCCUGGUAGUGGGGGAUAACGCUCGGAAACGGACGCUAAUACCGCAUACGUCCUACGGGAGAAAGCAGGGGACCUUCGGGCCUUGCGCUAUCAGAUGAGCCUAGGUCGGAUUAGCUAGUUGGUGAGGUAAUGGCUCACCAAGGCGACGAUCCGUAACUGGUCUGAGAGGAUGAUCAGUCACACUGGAACUGAGACACGGUCCAGACUCCUACGGGAGGCAGCAGUGGGGAAUAUUGGACAAUGGGCGAAAGCCUGAUCCAGCCAUGCCGCGUGUGUGAAGAAGGUCUUCGGAUUGUAAAGCACUUUAAGUUGGGAGAAGGGCAGUAAAUUAAUACUUUGCUGUUUUGACGUUACCGACAGAAUAAGCACCGGCUAACUCUGUGCCAG
rnacentral:rRNA from 1 species